UACGUAGGGUGCAAGCGUUAAUCGGAAGUACUGGGCGUAAAGCGUGCGCAGGCGGUUUUGUAAGUCUGACGUGAAAGCCCCGGGCUCAACCUGGGAAUUGCGUUGGAGACUGCAAGGCUAGAAUCUGGCAGAGGGGGGUAGAAUUCCACGUGUAGCAGUGAAAUGCGUAGAGAUGUGGAGGAACACCGAUGGCGAAGGCAGCCCCCUGGGUCAAGAUUGACGCUCAUGCACGAAAGCGUGGGGAGCAAACAGG
rnacentral:rRNA from 1 species